rnacentral:other from 1 species
AAAAACCUGGGAUGUUCGACAACUUGUUUAUUUUGAACCUACAUUUUUUAUAAGGGAACCCCAUACACUGCUUGAUAUGUCAGGCCCCAAGAUAAUUCCCUUUGGGCGGGGGAAGGCAUUAUCAGUGGUUGCGGAUACCCACCUAGCGUUAGCUAGGUGUCAAAAGGCAGGAACGGCAUUCUGGGUUACAA